rnacentral:rRNA from 1 species
CCUACGGGAGGCAGCAGUGAGGAAUAUUGGUCAAUGGGCGGGAGCCUGAACCAGCCAAGUCGCGUGAGGGACGACGGUCCUAUGGAUUGUAAACCUCUUUUGUCGGGGAACAAAGGCGCCCACGGGUGGGCGGAUGAGUGUACCCGAAGAAAAAGCAUCGGCUAACUCCGUGCAAGCAGCAGCGGUAAUACGGAGGAUGCGAGCGUUAUCCGUAUUUAUUGGGUGUAAAGGGUGCGUAGGUGGACGGUGAAGUCAGCGGGAAAAAUGCGGUGCUAAACGCCGUACAGCCGUUGAAACUGGUAGUCUUGAGUGUGCGAGAAGUAUGCGGAAUGCGUGGUGUAGCGGUGAAAUGCAUAGAUAUCAAGCAGAA